GAAAAUGACAACUUCUAUAGUAGGUACCUAGAAAUCAUAAAACUUACCAUAAAUUUGCACUUAUCUAUAAUACAAGUAAAUAAAUGUGCAAUACAGGAUGUUGGUUGUAUGUUUGGACAAAACAGAAGCAGUAACAAUGAUAGUAAUAAUUACACCUGUAAUAGAAUAAAUAACACUAAAAACAUUAACAACAUAAUAAACAUAUGCAAUCAAACAAAAAGUACCAAUUCAUGUGUUCCUACAAACAGACUCACUUCGUGCGAGUUGAUACAAAUAAACAAAAUCUGUAAACUCACAGAUGAAAAACAAAUAGUAAAUCAUAACAAUAGAAAGAGCAGCAAAAAUAAAGGUAAUAACAAUUCCAGGUUGGAAAAAAAAAAAAAAAAAAGUCAUGUAAAAGAAAAAAACGACUACACAGGUGAUGAUAAACGUGACAAUAGUGACGACUAUAGUAACAAAAAGUGUGGUAUAAAUAAAAAAAAUCAUUUAAAAUUAAACAAAUAUUUAACCAAAUCAUUUUUGAAUAUGUUAGUAGGUAAUAAAAAGAAUGACACGAAAAAAAUUGCCCAUCCAUUAAACAUAGACAAAGGCAACAUAAAAAAAGAAUCGACAAAAAAUGAAAACAAUAUUAGGAAACAAAAAAAAGAACAUGAGAAACGUAGCGAACUAACGAAAAGCACAAAACACGAUAAUACAAAAAAAAAAGAGUGUUCAUUAGUAACGAAAAUUAAGAUACGAAAUCACGAAAAAGAAAUCCCAAAUGUUCACUUGUUUAACAAUACAUUAGAUAACAAUACAGACCAUAGUUUAUGUGUUAUUGAUAACAGAAGGAACAAAAAAAAGCAGUUUGUACAUGUUAAAACUGUUGGUAUGAAUUACCGUAGUAACAAUUUAACUGUGACAUCUUCGGAUGACAAGGAUGAUAGUAGUUUAAAAAAAUAUAUGAAUAACAUCAAAAUAAAUAAAAAAGUUUUAAAUCAUAUUUCUACGUCUUAUGAAGAUAUUAAAAAAGGACAAAAGCGAAAUGAUAAAAAAGCUAGAAACUUACUUGAAGAAGUAGAAAAAUGCUUAGUCAGAUUAGAUAACGAAGGUGUAAAAAAUGGUACGCAUAAUGACAAAAAUCGUAGCCAAAUCGAUUCAACUUUGUUAAAAGAAAUUGAAAGAUGUGAAUAUCAAAAUAUAACCAUACAAAAUGAAAAGUUAAAAAAAGGAAAAAAAGGGAAAAAAGAAAAAAAACAAAAUAAAAAAAAACAAAUCGAGUAUGAAAAACAAAUUCAAGAACUGAAUGAUAAGUUAAUGUCAUUACAAUAUAAAGUAAAUCAAA
rnacentral:lncRNA from 1 species